rnacentral:lncRNA from 1 species
GACAAUAGCAUUGAGUAUUAGGAAUUAACUGCCGGAUGAGUAGAUGGGAAAUAGGAAGCAAAUUUAAUAGUAUAUAAUGAAAGAUUAUGGUUAUUAAGAAUGAAAACAUUGCAGUAAAGAAAAUAUGCUAGUCGAAAGAAAGACAAGAAAGAGUGCAAGCAAGAGUAUCGUUGCAAAAUGAUCAAGAACUAAAGUUAAAAAAGAAGCAUCAACAAAGUUAGAUUAAGCAAUAGUUGCAUGCCUGUUGGCAUAUCCGAGCAUACCUAGAAGCUGACCAUUUUCUAAUAUUUCAAAUAUAUAUACCAUUAAGAAAAUUACCAAGAACACUUGCAAGAAAUUUUGUCA